rnacentral:rRNA from 1 species
GACGAACGCUGGCGGCGUGCUUAACACAUGCAAGUCGAACGGAAAGGCCCUGCUUUUGUGGGGUGCUCGAGUGGCGAACGGGGGAGUAACACGUGAGUAACCUGCCCUUGACUUUGGGAUAACUUCAGGAAACUGGGGCUAAUACCGGAUAGGAGCUCCUGCUGCAUUGUGGGGGUUGGAAAGUUUCGGCGGUUGGGGAUGGACUCGCGGCUUAUCAGCUUGUUGGUGGGGGAGUGGCUUACCAAGGCUUUGACGGGUAGCCGGCCUGAGAGGGUGACCGGCCACAUUGGGACUGCGAUACGGCCCAGACUCCUACGGGAGGCAGCAGUGGGGAAUAUUGCACAAUGGGCGGAAGCCGGAUGCAGCAACGCCGCGUGCGGGAUGACGGCCUUCGGGUUGUAAACCGCUUUCGCCUGUGACGAAGCGUGAGUGACGGUAAUGGGUAAAGAAGCACCGGCUAACUACGUG